rnacentral:rRNA from 1 species
CCUACGGGGGGCUGCAGUGAGGAAUAUUGGUCAAUGGGGGCAACCCUGAACCAGCAACGCCGCGUGAGGGAUGAAGGGGCUCUGCCCUGUAAACCUCUGUCGGACGGGAAAAAAGAGAUCUUCUGGGUCUCGGGAUUGUACCGUUAGAGGAAGCGCCGGCUAACUACGUGCCAGCAGCCGCGGUAAUACGUAGGGCGCGAACGUUGUCCGGAAUUACUGGGCGUAAAGGGUGCGCAGGCGGCUUCGCGCGUCAGAGGUUAAAUCCCGCGGCUCAA